GAUGAAGAACGCAGCGAAAUGCGAUAAGUAAUGUGAAUUGCAGAAUUCAGUGAAUCAUCGAAUCUUUGAACGCACCUUGCGCCCUUUGGACAUUCCGAAGGGCAUGCCUGUUUGAGUAUCAUGAACACCUCAACUCUCACGGCUUGUCCGUGAUGAGCUUGGACUUUGGGGGUCUUGCCGGCCUGUGGUCGGCUCCUCACAAAUGGAUCAGCUUGCCAGUGUUUGGUGGCAUCACAGGUGUGAUAACUAUCUGCGCUUGUGGUUUUCCAUCAGAUAACCUUCAGUGAUAUGGAGGUUCGCUGGAGCUCACAAAUGUCUCUCCUUAGUGAGGACAGCUCUUUGAACGUUUGAUCUCAAAUCAGGUAGGACUACCCGCUGAACUUAAGCAUAUCAAUAAGCGGAGGA
rnacentral:misc_RNA from 1 species